CGCGUAGGCGGCAUGACAAGUCACUUGUGAAAUCUCCGGGCUUAACUCGGAACGGUCAAGUGAUACUGUCGCGCUAGAGUGCGGAAGGGGCAAUCAGAAUUCUUGGUGUAGCGGUGAAAUGCGUAGAUAUCAAGAGGAAUACCUGAGGUGAAGACGGGUUGCUAGGCCGACACUGACGCUGAGCGCGAAGCCAGGGAGCAAACG
rnacentral:rRNA from 1 species